rnacentral:rRNA from 1 species
CAAAAGAGUGGGAAGAUCUUUGAGUAGAGGUGACAGAUCUAUCGAGCGCAGUAAUAGCUGGUUACCUAAUAAAUGAAUAGGAGUUCAGCCCUUUAAAUUUCCUGUUUCACCUUGCGUGUGCUAGAGAAGAACAAGGAAAUUAAAGGAGUUAGUCAAAAGGGGAACAGCUCUUUUGACGAAAGAAACAACUUUAGUAGGUGCUUUAAGAUCAUAUUUCUUAAGGAAUUUGAUACAAGUGGGCCUAAAAGCAGCCAUCUUAAUAGAAAGCGUUAAAGCUCAAAUUAGACUAUAUCCAUUUAUACUGACAUUAAGUCUUCAUCCCUACUUUUAGAUUAGGUUAUCUUAUGCAUCCAUAAGAGUAAUAAUGCUAAAAUGAGUAAUAAGAAAAAUUUAAUUUUUCUCCUGACAUGUGUGUAAGUUGGAACGGACCUACCGCCAACGAUUACCCGACCCCAAUUUUAGAGGGCUAUAAGUAUAUAAUAACAAGAAAAGUACUUAGUUUAAAUCGUUAACCCUACACAGGUAUGUAAUAAGGAAAGACUAAAAGAGAGGGAAGGAACUCGGCAAACAAGAGCCUCGCCUGUUUACCAAAAACAUCGCCUCUUGUUUUACUAAUAUAAGAGGUCUCGCCUGCCCGGUGACUAUAUGUUUAACGGCCGCGGUAUUUUAACCGCGCGAAGGUAGCGUAAUCAUUUGUCUUUUAAAUGAAGACCUGUAUGAAUGGUAUUACGAGGGCUCAACUGUCUCCCUUCUCCAGUCAAUGAAAUUGACCUCCCCGUGCAGAGGCGGGGAUAUUAAUAUAAGACGAGAAGACCCUGUGGAGCUUAAGACCUAAGAUAAGCCAUGUUCAGGAAUCUAAAAUACAAGUAAAAACUUAGUGGCAUUUAUUGAAGUGUCUUCGGUUGGGGUGACCCUGGGGAAAAAUUUAACCCCCAAGUAGACUGGGUACAUUGUCUCUAGAACUCAGAGCCCAUACUCCAAGUAACAAAAUAUUUGACUUUAUGAUCCGGUAUAACCGAUCAACGGACCAAGUUACCCCAGGGAUAACAGCGCAAUCCUCUUUAAGAGCCCAUAUCGACAAGGGGGUUU